GAGUUUGAUCAUGGCUCAGAUUGAACGCUGGCGGCAUGCCUUACACAUGCAAGUCGAACGGCAGCACGGGUGCUUGCACCUGGUGGCGAGUGGCGAACGGGUGAGUAAUACAUCGGAACAUGUCCUGUAGUGGGGGAUAGCCCGGCGAAAGCCGGAUUAAUACCGCAUACGAUCUGAGGAUGAAAGCGGGGGACCUUCGGGCCUCGCGCUAUAGGGUUGGCCGAUGGCUGAUUAGCUAGUUGGUGGGGUAAAGGCCUACCAAGGCGACGAUCAGUAGCUGGUCUGAGAGGACGACCAGCCACACUGGGACUGAGACACGGCCCAGACUCCUACGGGAGGCAGCAGUGGGGAAUUUUGGACAAUGGGCGAAAGCCUGAUCCAGCAAUGCCGCGUGUGUGAAGAAGGCCUUCGGGUUGUAAAGCACUUUUGUCCGGAAAGAAAUCCUUGGUUCUAAUAUAGCCGGGGGAUGACGGUACCGGAAGAAUAAGCACCGGCUAACUACGUGCCAGCAGCCGCGGUAAUACGUAGGGUGCAAGCGUUAAUCGGAAUUACUGGGCGUAAAGCGUGCGCAGGCGGUUUGCUAAGACCGAUGUGAAAUCCCCGGGCUCAACCUGGGAACUGCAUUGGUGACUGGCAGCUAGAGUAUGGCAGAGGGGGUAGAAUUCCACGUGUAGCAGUGAAAUGCGUAG
rnacentral:rRNA from 1 species